rnacentral:rRNA from 1 species
UCUACGGGAGGCAGCAGUGAGGAAUAUUGGUCAAUGGGCGCGAGCCUGAACCAGCCAAGUAGCGUGAAGGAUGACUGCCCUACGGGUUGUAAACUUCCUUUAUAAAGGAAUAAAGUGAGGCACGUGUGCCUUUUUGUAUGUACUUUAUGAAUAAGGAUCGGCUAACUCCGUGCCAGCAGCCGCGGUAAUACGGAGGGUCCGAGCGUUAUCCGGAUUUAUUGGGUUUAAAGGGAGCGUAGAUGGGUUGUUAAGUCAGUUGUGAAAGUUUGCGGCUCAACAGUAAAAUUGCAAUUGAUACUUGGAGUCUUGAGUACAGUUGAGGUAGGCGGAAUUCGUGGUGUAGCGGUGAAAUGCGUAGAUAUCACGAAGAACUCCGAUUGCGAAGGCAGCUUACUAAACUGCCACUGACAUUGAUGCUCGAAAGUGUGGGUAUCAAACAGGAUUAGAUACCCGUGUAGUC